CAGCUCGAAUCAGGUCCCCCCAUCUCCCCCACCCCUUCUGCGCAAGAUACCAGCAGCCCCCGGGCUGUAAGCUCCUCCCACUGCAAACAACUUUCGCUUUUGCUGCCAAUGCAAGCAAACUCCUUGGCCUUUUUCUUAUAUUAAUUUCCCUUGUAACGCACGUGUCAGAACAGCUGGCAACUCUCCUGCAGCACCUCCGCUGGCGAGGAAGAGUGGAUAGGCACUGAACGACAUCCCCUCAUCCCAGACCCAAGAACAACUAUUGCCCUCCCAGGACGCGGCAUGCUUCCUCUACCUGCCCGCGUCGCAUCUCUGCAGGGAAAGAUUUUUCAUUAAACAUCCCUUUUUCAUGAAAUUUGGCUGAGAGGGGAAUUCAUAUAAGCCAUUGUAUAGCAGGAAUGAAGAAGCAUUUUGGAUCAAAUUAUGAAGAAAUUCGGAAUUAUUUUUUUUUGCCAAGGAUUUCCCAAAGAACUAAAUAUAAUUAACUGGAUCAAAUAUCUCCAUCAUUAGGCAAAACCAACGUCAAUUUUUAACCCAAGCUGCCAAAGGCCCAUUUUUUCAACAGAUCACAGAACCAGUCUCUUCACAUUCAUCCAGAACUGCUUCAAAACAAAAUGACAGGAGAAACCAACCAUGCAACAGAGAUAGUGUGAAGGACAAGCCAUUUAAUGAAUACUUCUGUCUAGAUGACAUUUUCAAUAAGUAAGACAUACAACUAAAAGCAUCUAUUUACUUCUAUCCCACCCCAGCAGUUGAUGGAUAGAAGCCUACACAGGUAAUCCCCAAUAAGAAACAUUGCUAUACCUUGCUAUAACUCAAGCUUCUUUCCUUUUAGUAAAUAAUAUUACUAUUUUUUUAUAAAUUCUUGUUUGUACAAUAUAAAUAGCCUUCAUUUAGAACACAAUGGAGACCCUUAAGCAAAAUGUUCCCUAAAUGAAAUUAUGAUUGUGUUUGUGAUUGUGAUUUUACUACAAAGGUUGUAAAUGUGUGGAUUGGUGGUCAGGUUACUCUUUUUUCACUGUUGUAACUGAAUGAUCUCCAAAUGAGAUAUUCACUAAACUGUUGUAACUGAAUGAUCUCCAAAUGAGAUAU